rnacentral:rRNA from 1 species
UACGUAGGGUGCGAGCGUUGUCCGGAAUUAUUGGGCGUAAAGAGCUCGUAGGCGGCCUGUCGCGUCGAUUGUGAAAGCCCCGGGGCUUAACCCCGGGUCUGCAGUCGAUACGGGCAGGCUAGAGUUCGGUAGGGGAGAUCGGAAUUCCUGGUGUAGCGGUGAAAUGCGCAGAUAUCAGGAGGAACAUCGGUGGCGAAGGCGGAUCUCUGGGCCGAUACUGACGCUGAGGAGCGAAAGCGUGGGGAGCGAACAGG